AAGAAAUUAGGGAGAACAUUGAAAAAAUCCAAGGCAAUGUUGAAGAAGUCAAAAAGAAACACAGUGCAAUAUUAUCAGCACCACAAACAGAUGAAAAGGUCAAACAGGAAUUGGAAGACCUUAUGGCUGAUAUCAAGAAAACUGCCAAUAGAGUGCGAGCCAAAUUAAAAGUUAUGGAGCAAAAUAUUGAGCAACUGGAGCAGACGAGCAUGAUGUCAGCUGACUUCAGGAUACGCAAAACACAACAUUCCAUGUUGUCCCAGAAGUUCGUUGAAGUUAUGACAGAUUACAACAAGACUCAGACAGAUUACAGGGAAAGAUGCAAAGCCCGUAUCCAAAGGCAAUUAGAGAUAACUGGAAAAGUCACAACAAAUGAUGAAUUAGAAGAAAUGUUAGAAAGUGGAAAUCCUGCAAUCUUUACACAAGGAAUCAUUAUGGAAACACAACAAGCGAAACAAACACUGGCAGAUAUCGAAGCUAGGCAUGCUGAUAUCAUCAAACUGGAGAACAGUAUUAGGGAGCUUCAUGACAUGUUUAUGGAUAUGGCUAUGCUUGUGGAAAGUCAGGGUGAAAUGAUAGAUAGGAUUGAAUAUCAUUGUGAACAUGCUAGAGAUUAUAUAGAGACAGCUGUUCAAGACACCAAAAAAGCUUUGGCCUAUCAGAGUAAAGCUCGAAGAAAGAAAAUUUGCCUGAUUAUAGCAGGUAUAAUCAUCUUAAUAAUUUUGAUAGUCCUCAUUGUCUAUGCUUGUGGUGGCUUUUGAAACAGCAGACAUCAAGUUUUCUUCUUUACACUGGAUAUUUUGGAACGUGUUAAGUGUGUUAACUAUGCAGAUUCAUAACCACACAGUCAGAUAUCUUUAAGAAGAUCAUGAUCAUGAUCUGUGUGAUCAUCUUGGUGGUGAUACUUGUGUCCGCCUUGGCUGGUUCUCUGGGAAUGUAAUUCUACAGCUUGCUGCACCUCUUACACAUUUUACUCAUUCUACAACCUUACACUGAGGGAAGUGAAUUUCAAAUCUUUUUUCUUCCCAAAUUGUUGGUUGUCAAGAAAAAUAACUUAGUUCACUAAAGGUGCCAUUACUAACAGGUAGUGCUAUCCCACAUUUCUGAAUGUAUGUAUUGUAAAUCUUAAGUUUAGGAAAAAUGUUCUAGAGUGUGACACCUUAAGGCCUGGAGUAAAUGAAAUUUAUUUAUUAGUUAAAUUUUAUAAUUGUUAAUACAGUAUGAAAUCUUAACAAUGUGUUCCCAUUUCUUGUGAUUUCAGAUGUGAAUGAUUUAAAAAAAAGUGUUGAAAUGUCAAUUAUUUUGGAUAUACAAAUUGUGAUUCAGAUUAUAAUUGGCUGAUAAAAUAUUAUGAAAGUACUCGUGAAAUAUGUAUAGUUUAACCAUUUCAUUUAGAAAACUGACGUAUCAGUGUAUGUAUUUUCUUUAACACACUUAUUUUGUUUAAUUGUAAUUAGACAUUGGAAACUUUUAUAAAAAAAAACUUUUUGAAGUGUUCUAAAGAAGGAAGUAUAAUUUGCUUUUACAAAUCAAUGUUGUCUUGAUUGAAUACACUUUUUUAUUUAGUAAUGUUUGAAAUUCCAACUCGUAUAGAGUAGCUAUUGUGAAAUUUUUAUAAAUUUGAUUUUUUGUUAGUUCUUUUAAUGCAUUUGUAUUUGUUUAUAUAUGCAUAUAUAAGUGCAUGUAUAAACAAGUAAUAUUUUAUCACAGGCAUUUCAGUGUGAUAUAGGCAUGUAUUUGUUUCAAAAUUACAAAAUUUAACAUCUCGAUCAUAAUUUAAUGGUACAUAAGUCAUUAUAUUUAUGACUGUAAUAGUAAAUGUUUAUAAGCCUGGCAGACUCUGUGAUGUAGCCAUAUGUACCUGUUGGCUAUGUACAUAUUUAUACGUGUAGUGUUUAAAGUAGAUCUUCUUUAUAUUACACUCUUUGAAUAAUUGGCUUUCAAACUGAAUGUUGGAUAACAAAUUAUAUACUGUAAUUUGUGGUGUAGCUUUGCAAGCAUGCUGUAAUAUGUAUGAAUAGAUAGAAAAUUGCAGUAUGGAAAGAAAUCUGCGGCUUCUAGUAAGCAAAAUGGUGAUUUGUGUCUUAAGUGAAAGAACGCACACAAUAUUUUUAACUUCUUUUUUUGGAGGUAGAUUUUAAAACAAAUACAGUAUCUUUUGAAAUUUUUUUGUCCAUGGUAUAUUGAUGCAAUUGUUGAAAUUUUAAUUUCAUCUUGUGAUUAAUAUUAUCGUGAUUCACAUUUACUUUGUCUGGAAUGAAUUUGUCCUCCUCUGUAUGUAUGUUAAUUUAUUGUAAAACCAUAUGCUGAGCUAAGUAACAAUCUUUGUACUUUAUUAUGUAUUUUAUACUAUGUAAAAUGUAAUUAUACUGUAAUAAGUGCUUGUCCUAGAACAAGAGUGUAUCAUGUGGAAUUUGUGGCUUUUGUUUUUUUUAUGUAUCUCAUGAAUAAUAAAUACUUUGUAUGUGUGAAGUUGAUGAUCUCAUAUUGAUCAUCAUUUCAUCACCAUUUAGCGAUAUUUAGAACCUGUCAAUUAAAAACAAAUUUCAUUGUUCCACAGAAUAUGUAUUAUCGGGUUUAAUACUUAAAGAUAUGAAAUAUCUGGUCAUCAUCUUGCCUUACAUUAUAUAGCAAUAAUCUUCCUACCAUCUCUGUCUUUCCUUAUGACCUUUUGAUGUUUUAACGCAUGCAUGAUGUACCAGUUGUAUAAGCAAGUUUCAUGAAUUCUCAUCCUAGCAUGUCUGUUUUGUUGAAUUACAGAUUUAUUUCAUUCUCUUUUAUUAUAGAAAGAUAAUGGUUCUUAAUCUUUUGUGCUGGUAUUCUGAAUUCAGAAAUCAGUUAAAUUUUCCAUAAUUUAUAAUAAAUGAAUUUUCUGUCUAUAGAAUAUUUUAACAAAUUUAUUAUUCAAAGAUAACAUGCUGUUUGCUAACAGAGGAUAAUAGAUAAUAAUGAGAAACAAAAAAUUCUAUUUUCAUUAUAAAUUUUAAUAUAUAUUAAAAUAAUAACAUGACAAAAAGUUUCAUUUGAACAAUAUGAAUUUCAAAAAAUUAAACCCAUCCGAUCUUGUUUGGUGAAAUUGCAAAUCUGUUUCUCUCUGGUGCUUUCCUCUCACUUCAGAGAAAAUUAUGCAUUGCUACUUCAGUUGACUGAAGGGUCUGUUAAAUGCUUAUACACUUGUGAUCGCAGCCGGAUAAAGACUGUCUGAGACUAAGCACGAAAAGAUUUUGGUUCCCCCCCCCUCCACAUACAUUUACAGUAUAAUGCCUGUUAUUUUUCCCAGUUCUUUUCUUUUGGUCUUGGUUUAGCUGUACCAUACCUUCCAUGGUAAAAUCAGAAAUGAAAAAUUUCUGUGGUGCCACCGUCCUAAGCAUGCUUAAUGGUACUUAUUUUGCUUAAUGAUAAAUCCAGCUCUGCUUAUAAUUCUCACAACAGACAUUUGUUCAUACAUUGUGCGUACAAGAUAUUUGGCCCUUAUAUUAAUUAGUAUAUAUACUAAUUAAUAUAAGGGCAUAAUCAUUUUUUCAUAUCUUUUAUGAGAAAAUAAUCAAUUUUCAUAUCUUUUAUGAGAAAGAAAUAACUCAAUCAGAAUCCCUUUGUUUGGUAUUAACUUUUGUUGAUCACAUUUGUUUAAAAUUAUGUUACUUUUAUGUCUUUAUUUGUGAUUGGAUUUAUUUGCAUUCCAAAUUUCAUGAACCCGUAAGUAUUUUUAAUGGGAUAGUUUUUGCAUAAAAUCUGUGCAUAGAAAUAUAAGUAACAUCUGAGAAAAAUUUUACUUAAAAUACGAUAGAUUAAAAAUAAAUGUUUUUGAGUAAAGAAGUCUAAAAUAGGUAUCUGAUUUUACUUCAUGUUACUAAAUAAUGUUUAAAGUUUCCAGUAUGCCAGAAUAUGAAUUAAAAUUAUGUCAUAACUAAAUCUCCAGUGUUAACUUCAGCUAUAAAGAAAUUUAAAGAAAAUCAGCUUCCUAUAAUGUUUCUAUAUUCUGUAAAAAUCAAAGUUUAAACACAAAGAAUGUUAUAUUUAACUUUAUGAAAAUAUCAAUAGAUUAUAUUCUGAGCUAAAGAUCAAAAAUAAAAUAUCAAAUAGAAAAUAUUUAAGUUUGUUUUCUGAGAUAGUGUUCAGAUUCCAAGUUUUCUCAUAAAUAAAUAUCAUUAAGUUUUUAAAUACAAAAAAUAUAAUCAGUUUAUUUUGCAUAGAAUAAGAAUUUAAUUCAUUUUGAUUAUUGGUAUAUAAAAUCAUAUGUUCUGCUAAGUACUGUGGUAACUUGUUAGCUUAACCAAAUUUUUCCAUCACUUUAGAAAUCCUUGAAAACUAAAAACGCCAAAAUAGAAAACUAAGCCACAAGUCGACAAGUGCAAAGAGUAAAACAGCAUAUAAUGUUUUAACCUUUUUUACAUAAUUCAAUGUAGAUGGUUAACUUUUGCUGUAAUGCUGAGUGUCAAAUUAAUUUUUAAAGUGUUUUGAGGAGGGAACAUUAUUAUUAUUCAAAUAGUAUUUGAAGGUUAAGAACCAUUAUUCCACAGCUCAGGCCCAAAAUAAAUGUUCUUAUUUCCUAGAAUUUCCAUCUACAAUUUUAACUGAAAUACCCUACAAUAAAUAUUAUUCAUUGUGAUGUAAAAAACAUUCUGUUUAUUGUAUUUCCAUCUGAGGGAGUUAUGUGGGGUAGUACUACCUUAGUUUUUGGCUUAAUAUUAAGUUAAUUUAUUUCAUGUUCAAAUAUUUACAAACUUUUCUCAUCUCCAUCUUUGCAGUGCCACUUAAUGUAUGUUUAGGCUAACAUAUUCUCCCUUGUGCAUUUCUGAUUAAGGAAAUUAUUGGAAAAUAGCUUUUACUGCUAAUGAAUCUUCAACUAGAAAAAUGGAUCAUAAUAAAUCUUUAUAGAAGAUAUGUCAAUAGUUAAGUGUUUUUGCACGCUGUGUCCUAUGUUUUCUUGACUUUGAUGUUUUUGGUUAGAUCUUAAGUAUAUAUGUAUUCCAAAAUAUGACUGGUGUAUUCCUUUAAUAAUUUAAAUUUAUAUAGCUUACUUUAUUUUAUUCAAAAAUGUUAAUAGUGCUUAAAAGAAAAAAAAGAUGCAAUUUAUUUCUUUAUUAUAUACGUAAUACUUGUCUAUUUUUGCUACAAAUUAUUUAAUUAUGCUGUAAACAGAAGUAGGAAUAAAAUUAAUUUGUACAUAUAUAUUUCACAAUUGUUUUUCAUAAUAUACUACGAAUGAAGCAAACAGAAUUUGUAAUGGAGAAAAAGAUUUCGUGAUUAAAUUUUAUGAACUGUAAUUUAUAAUGCCAAAUGUGAUCUUGUAAAAUAUUCUUAUUUUUUAAAUUACUUUCUUCGAAAUUAGACCUGUUAAACAUAAAAUGGAACGUAUUCUCUUUUGGGCUACCAAUAAUCUAUUAUUUUUCUAUUUUGUAAGAUUAUUAAAAAAAUAGAAAAUGGUUAUUGAACUCUUUGCUUAGUUUAGAAUCCCCUUAAAAAUGUCAAGGCCUUAUCUGUUUAUAAAAAGUGAAAUUUCCCAUCCUUGUUCAUCAUGUCAAAUAUUUGCUAUCUAAAUAUUGUAGAGAAAUUCUUCACCUCCCUUAAACACAGGUCUUUUAAAAACGUGUAGACUAAAAAAGAACAGACAAUAAAUAUUAUGUAAUUUUAUUAGGCUGGGGGUAUGAUUUAUGUCAAACAAAUUAAACACUUCUUUUUUUAUAUUUUUUAUGUGUUUGGUGUUAAAAAAAGAAUAGAUUUUUUUGUGAUCAAAUUUAGUUAUGAAUAAUAUGCUAGUAAUAAAGCACAUCAAAUGAAAUUUUAUCUCAAAAAACCCUUCUAGGUAUAUUGGGUUUAAAUGUUGAAAAAUUAUUAUUUUUAUUUAUUUUAUCAUCAAGGAUUACUGUAAAAUGAUUCUUAUGUCCUUUAAAUUCAACAACUUCUGUGCAUAUAUAACAUUAGAAAAGCAUUAAAAAUUAUGUAGUUUGUUAAUUUUUCUUCCCUCUACCAACCAAAGAGCUCAGCAAUCAGCAAGCUCUGAGAAAGUGCUGCUUUUAAAUGAAGUUUUUUUUAAUGCAAGUUUCAUAAUUUUUUAAUUUGAUUUAUUUAAAAAUGAUGGUACCCCACUAAACCCCUCGGGGGGAGAAGAAUAUAUUCUACUUGAAUUUGGGGGUACACCAGUAUUAGUUAUUCAGGUGGUUUUGUUUAGUAAUACAUAAAUAUAUAAAAGCAUAUCUAUUCAAAAUGUACAUAUUAAAAAAAAGAAAAAAGAAAGAAAGAAGAAAAGAAAGUAGAAAUUUGAAACUGACUUAUCAAAAUGUGUCCUUUGAAAUAAUUGCUUAUGUUGCUUUUAAAGGAGGAGAAAUUUAUCUAGAUUCUGUAGACUGAGUGGUACAUAUAGAAUUUAUGCAGAAAUAUGCCUUCAGUUGAUACUUUACAUUGCAGAUUAAAUUAAUAUUUCAAAUGUAUGAUGUUAUUUUACGAAAUUGUUGAAAUAUUUUCUCCCUUUCAAAUAUUGUUAACAUGCCCAUACUCGAAAAAUUCUGAUGUUAGGAAGAUAAAUUACCGUUAAAUUAAGCACUGUCAUAAAUUUUGGGUUUAAAUCUUUGGUGAGCCACUGCAAAUAUAAAUGUCCACCUACUUGCUUAUAUUGAUUUUUAUUCGCAGUUACAGAAGCCUUCAUUUAUUUAUGUAUAAAUAUUUAUUAAUGAAACUAUUUAACCUGACAAUCUAUAAUCUGAAAUUUUUGUUAUAAAACAUGUAUUAGAAUAAUAAUUACAUAAAUCUGAAUCAGAGCAGCUUACAUUUUGGGGGGUUAUAUUGUCACCUGCUCUUAAUGUAAAAUAUAUAAUAAUAUGUACCUAGAUACAUUUUCAGAAGACUUGUUACAUUUUAAUUUGAAAUAGGGCUUAUUCUGUUUGAAAAAAUGAAUAAAAUAUCAUUUAAUUGAAUAUAAGAAAACUGCACUCUUGUUUAAACAAAUUUUGCAGGUAUUUGUGAUCUUGUGUGGAGUUUAAACUUAUGACUUCAAAAAAGUUGUACCAUUUAUCUUUCUAUCUUUGGAUAUAAUUAUAGUUUUUUCCUUCAAAAAAUGUAUGUCUUUCUGCACAUUUUUAAAACAAUGCCUAGUGUUAAAUUCUGCAUAGUUUAAUAUUUAUAUGUAUACAUAUAUAUUACGGCAUGACUGCAAGCCACUGCCAUACAGAAAUUCUAUUUCUGUCUAACAUAAAAGCAGUGAUGUUCAUCUUGGAACAUUGUUCUUUUUGAAAAUCUUGUUGUCGUUUUAGUGGCCACUUCAAACUUGUAGCAUAGAAAAGUAAAAGGUCCCACUGAACUACUGUCCUUUUCACUUUCUGGUGUUGUCAUUCCACCAAAUCAUUCCAACGUUCAGUGUAAAUAAUAUUGUAAAUACUCGGGCAUAGUUAUUAUGAGAGGGCUGCUUCGGUGACAACACUGUAGAAGACUUGGUCUGGGAAUGACAUAGAUGUUUCAUCACUGUGCUUCCCCUUUUUUUGAUCUGAAAUUUGUAUUUAUAAAAACUUGUGUGAAUUCUUCUGUUUUACAAGUCAGUAUAUGUAGAAAUUCUGUAAAGAUAUAGAAUUUUACCAAUCAAAAUGUCAGCAAAAAAUGCAGUAUAUGGUAUGAUAUGUUAGAUGCAUUGAAAUUUACUGAAAUGUGUUAAGACCUUUUAUUAGAAAUAUAAAAACAACCCAUAGCAAUUACAGUUGAAACAUCUGUUCCCUUCUGUACAAUUAGGUAGCUACGUGUUGUAAAAUGUUGAGGAAAAUCUGUAUUAAAAUAGUAGAAUAUCAAUAUCAUAAUGUUCAGAAAAUUCAGUAGCUUUAUUUUGAUAAAUUUCCUUAAAUGAAAGCAUUUUUGAAUGCCAAUUAUAAUAGUAUAUGCAUUGUACAUAGAUAUUUCCUGUGGUAUUUAAUUCACUUUUUUCAUUAUUUUAUUAGGCGGAAAAUAGUUAUUUGGCAUUAAAUCAUUUUCUUUAGGAACAGGCUAAUAUAUUUUAUAAUAAUUAUAUUAAUUUGGGAUACUUUAAUCUAUAAUCGCAUAUUAUUUUGGUAGGAAAAUAAUUUUGUAGCCUUUGUAUUGUUUCUGGUGAUAUUUUACUGCCUUUUGUGGAAGAGCUACACUGUGUGUUAAUAUCUAACUGUAAUAAAAUAAGUUAUUGUAUUUUUUUAGUGUCUUAAUAUCUUUAUUAUUAUAAGAAUAUAUUACUAACAUUUUCUUCUUAUCUAUAAAAUGACUUUGUAAUUCUUUAGCUCUUCAGUGAAAGGUAACUAAUAUAGUAAUUUGUACUAUUAUUUAAUAUAAACAGUAUUAACUAUUCCAGUGCUUAAUUUUGGUUCAUACAAUGCAAUGUUGUGAACUUAUAUCUAAAAUAUCAGGAAUAAAAGUACCUUAAUGUGG